GGCCAACAUAUAAUAAUGUGCAUUUGUUUGCGCAUAAGUCCACCACCACUCAAACAUCAGAACUAAAAGCCUCGCUUCACUUCAGUCAAACCGAUGCACUUCUUACCUUUCUUCCAGAUACUCUGAAGCCUUAUUUCUACUUUCCCCUGUUUUUCCCUUGUGUUCUCCUCCUUCUCCUCCUCUUCUUCUUGUUCUUCUUCCUCUUCGUCUUCUCCUCCUCCUCCUCCUCCUCCUUCUCCCUCUUCUGCUCCUCCUCCUCCUCUUGAAAGUUUUCCAUUUUUCACCUUAAAAUUCAAAGGAAAUUGCCAACUACAGCCUCCACAAUGAAGAAGAAUCCAAAGGUAAGGCUUCCCCCAAGGAGGGGGCAGAUCAAAGCCGAGAUAUUUAGGAAAUUCGUCAAAGCAAUCGUCUCAAUUGCGGCCAUGGUUGGGUGUCAAGGAGGGAAGAAAGGUGGCUAUGGUCUCGCCAAGAACCCUAUAGUUCCGACUGAAACUACCGCCAUGUCUUGGAGUAAUUCUGCAGGAACAGACAAUGGAUAAGUUUUACAUUCCUCAAGAAAUUUUUUUUCGCGUUGUUGUUUUUAUUACUUACUAUUUAUCCUAAUUUUAGGGAAAAGAAACCGAUGUAUUUAUCAAAUUUCUUUUAUUGUUUGUUGUUGUUGACAAUUUAUCUUAAUUUGUUUAUUCUAAAUUGAAGC
rnacentral:lncRNA from 1 species